GUAGGGAAUAUUGGGCAAUGGAUGGAAGUCUGACCCAGCCAUGCCGCGUGCCGGACGAAGGCCCUCUGGGUUGUAAACGGCUUUUGACAGGGAAGAAGAGUUACCAUGCGUGGUAAUGUGACGGUACCUGUUGAAUAAGCACCGGCUAACUCCGUGCCAGCAGCCGCGGUAAUACGGAGGGUGCGAGCGUUGUCCGGAUUUAUUGGGUUUAAAGGGUGCGUAGGCGGGGUUUUAAGUCAGUGGUGAAAAGCAGCUGCUCAACAGUUGUCGUGCCAUUGAAACUGAGACUCUUGAAUUGAUUGGAGGCUGCCGGAACGGAUGGUGUAGCGGUGAAAUGCAUAGAUAUCAUCCAGAACACCUAUUGCGAAGGCAGGUGGCUACGAUCAGAUUGACGCUGAUGCACGAAAGCGUGGGGAGCAAACAGGAUUAGAUACCCUGGUAGUCC
rnacentral:rRNA from 1 species